UGUGCUAGGAGAGAUACUUGCUAUCUGUGGCUCUGGCAUGCUGUUUGGUGGGUGGUUUUCUAUCUAUCCAUUGGAAGGAUGCAAACGUUAGGCUUUCUGCAUGAACAGUUUUACACAUACUUCCAAAAUAUAUUCACCAUUAUUGCAAUGUAAUGUUUGCAUAUAGCAAUGCCUCAGGAAUUGGAUUAGAAUUCAAACAAAAGCAGAAUUAAAAUAUGUUUUCACAAGAAUGGGUAAUUUAUGUCUUGAUGGAAACCUUGGCAGUUUAACUGAAAUAACAGCAGGAAAGGGUGGAUAAAUUAUUUAGUCUCCACACACAUAUCAGUGUUUUUAUAUAUAUGAGUUAUUGAGCUGAGCAUGGAAAAGUUUUUGCUAAUUUCUUGCCUUUGUACAGAAUUCCUUUUCAAACUGGAACCAGGGUUUUCCAGUUUGGUGAGUUCCCAACAGCUGAAACAAAGGCAAUCCCAACUGUGCCUUUCUUCUUCCUUUUGCUUCCUUUUUUCCCUUCCUUUCUUUUUUUCUUCCUUUUUUUGGUUUCUGGCAGAGUCUGAGUGGAAAAAGAGAACACAAAAUUCAUUGCACAGGGCAAAGCCUCACUUGUACCUCUGGCCAAGCUGUCUAUUGUCAUUGUACUCCAUUUAGAGUUAAACUGAUGUUUAAUCUGUAGGGAAUUUAGUCCAUUUGCUGUGAAGGCUGAGCUAAUACAGAGCAAUUGCUAAGUGUGCAACUCAGGGAGGGUUUUUUAGCUGUUUCUGGUUUAUUCUUUAUGGAGAAGUGUUUCUAAGAAACAGUGGUGACUGAAAUGUAGAAUCAGAUUUUUUUUCUUCCAUUUUGUCUGAGGCAAUUAGUUAUUUAAUUAAGGAGCUUUUACCAGUGGCUGGGAGGAGGUACAAUGGUUCCACUUCUUCAGAUUCAGCCAUCAAAGACUUUUAGUUCAUGCUUUAAAUGGGGAAAAGAUUUCCCCAAUGGGUAAGUACCUUGCAGCGUUUAGAUUAAUUAUUGUGUGUAUUUAAAAGUAUUGUGGGUGUAUUGAAAUGAAUAAAUAAGUAAAGGAAGAAUGCUUAAAAGGCAAGCUAUGGCAUCACUAAUAUGGCUAAAACCAUUUAAAAAUCACCCCAGUUUAUCAUCAAGUGAUAUUGUGUAUUGGUUCCUGUGAUAUGGCAUUUUGUCCACCAGCUCUGUCACAUGAGCUAAAUUUUGCUUGGUUCAGGAGAAAUAUGGGAGUAAAUUUGAACUAAUACUCUAAUUUUUAACAUCUUAGCUAUGUUUUGGAGCAUGAAAGCUGCAGCUGAGAGCUCCAAGAGCCUGAGGGAGGCAAAUGUCCUGGAUGGAAGGAGAAACCUGCAUUUAAUCCAUGCUUUGUAACAGAGGAGCCACGGGAGUGAGAAGCCCAUUGCAGGGAGCAAAAAACCCCAUGGAAGAUGCACCCAGGGCCAUCAGGGCCUUUUGAGGCACCAGACACCACCCUGUGAACAUCAGAAAUGCUUGUCCAUGGGCUGGGGUGUAUUCUGCAAAGUUUGGUAGAUAAACAUCUGGCUGUCCUAAGGAGUUACUGACUUUAUCCUGGAUAUGGAGCUGACCUCUAACUAGGUUAACUUUCUGUACUUCCAUUUGCUGUUUCAGAACCCUCCACAGAAGUGCCAGUUCACGUGUGUUCAGGAAAUGCCUAUGGAGAACCAGUUGUGCCUCUGGAAAGCUGCUGGCUAAAUGGAUGGAUUUCCUCCUUCUUCCUCUGCCAGAAGGG